GACGAACGCUGGCGGCGUGCUUAACACAUGCAAGUCGAGCGGUAAGGCACCUUCGGGUGUACACGAGCGGCGAACGGGUGAGUAACACGUGAGUAACCUGCCCUUCUCAUCGGAAUAAGCGUUGGAAACGACGUCUAAUGCCGAAUAUGACUUCGGACCGCAUGGUCUGAAGUGGAAAGCUUCGGCGGAGAAGGAUGGACUCGCGGCCUAUCAGCUAGUUGGUGAGGGAACGGCUCACCAAGGCGACGACCGGUAGCCGGCCUGAGGGGGUGACCGGCCACACUGGGACUGAGACACGGCCCAGACUCCUACGGGAGGCAGCAGUGGGGAAUAUUGGACAAUGGGCGCAAGCCUGAUCCAGCAACGCCGCGUGAGGGAUGACGGCCUUCGGGUUGUAAACCUCUUUCAGCAGGGACGAAGCGAAAGUGACGGUACCUGCAGAAGAAGGACCGGCCAACUACGUGCCAGCCGCCGCGGUAAAAC
rnacentral:rRNA from 1 species